rnacentral:rRNA from 1 species
GGGACCCGCACAAGCGGUGGAUGAUGUGGUUUAAUUCGAUGCAACGACGAAAAACCUUACCCACCUUUGACAUGGCAGGAAUCCUAAAGAGAUUUGGGAGUGCUCGAAAGAGAACCUGCACACAGGUGCUGCAUGGCUGUCGUCAGCUCGUGUCGUGAGAUGUUGGGUUAAGUCCCGCAACGAGCGCAACCCUUGCCAUUAGUUGCUACGAAAGGGCACUCUAAUGGGACUGCCGGUGACAAACCGGAGGAAGGUGGGGAUGACGUCAAGUCCUCAUGGCCCUUAUAGGUGGGGCUACACACGUCAUACAAUGGCCGGUACAGAGGGUAGCCAACCCGCGAGGGGGAGCCAAUCCCACAAAGCCGGUCGUAGUCCGGAUCGCAGUCUGCAACUCGACUGCGUGAAGUCGGAAUCGCUAGUAAUCGCGGAUCAGCAUGUCGCGGUGAAUACGUUCCCGGGUCUU